GGGUAAUUUUCCGCAAUGGGCGAAAGCCUGACGGAGCAAUACCGCGUACGGGACGAAGGCUUUUGGGUCGUAAACCGCUUUUGUUAGGGAAGAAUACAAUGACGGUACCUAACGAAUCAGCAUCGGCUAACUCCGUGCCAGCAGCCGCGGUAAUACGGGGGAUGCAAGCGUUAUCCGGAAUUAUUGGGCGUAAAGCGUCCGCAGGUGGUUUAUCAAGUCUGCUGUCAAAUCGUAGGGCUUAACCCUAUAAAGGCAGUGGAAACUGAGAGACUAGAGUACGGUAGGGGUAGCGGGAAUUCCCAGUGUAGCGGUGAAAUGCGUAGAUAUUGGGAAGAACACCAGCGGCGAAGGCGCGCCACUGGGCCGAAACUGACACUCAUGGACGAAAGCUAGGGGAGCGAAAGGGAUUAGAUACCCCUGUAGUCCUAGCUGUAAACGAUGACAACUAGGUGUUGCGCGUAUCGACCCGUGCAGUGCCGUAGCUAACGCGUUAAGUUGUC
rnacentral:rRNA from 1 species